rnacentral:rRNA from 1 species
CAAUAGCGUAUAUUAAAGUUGUUGCAGUUAAAAAGCUCGUAGUUGGAUUUCUAGAUAAGUGGGUACUUGUACUUUGCUUGUCUACCAGUCAUAGACUGUUACUGUGAGAAAAUUAGAGUGUUUCAAGCAGGCUGUUGCAGGAAUACAUUAGCAUGGAAUAACGAAUGUGUCUGGAAUAUUGGUUAAUUCUAGAUUACGAUUAAUAGGGACAGUUGGGGGAGUUAGUAUUUAAUUAGUCAGAGGUGGAAAUUACUUUGGUAGUUUAUUUAAAAGUAACUGACUUAUUGCGAAAGACAUUUGUCCAACGGAAGUGUUUUUCUAUUGUAUCAAGAAACG